rnacentral:rRNA from 1 species
AUUGAACGCUGGCGGCAGGCUUAACACAUGCAAUUCGAACGAGUGGCGGACGGGUGCGUAAUGUCUGGGAAACUGCCUGAUGGAGGGGGAUAACUACUGGAAACGGUAGCUAAUACCGCAUACCAUCGGAUGUGCCCAGAUGGGAUUAGCUAGUAGGUGGGGUAAAGGUUCACCUAGGCGACGAUCCCUAGCUGGUCUGAGAGGAUGACCAGCCACACUGGAACUGAGACACGGUCCAGACUCCUACGGGAGGCAGCAGUGGGGAAUAUUGCACAAUGGGCGCAAGCCUGAUGCAGCCAUGCCGCGUGUAUGAAGAAGGCCUUCGGGUUGUAAAGUACUUUCAGCGGGGAGGCGUUACCCGCAGAAGAAGCACCGGCUAACUCCGUGCCAGCAGCCGCGGUAAUUC